UGAGCGAGUGCGUGUGUGUACAUGUGCACAUGCACACAUGCACACACACACACACACACACACACACACACACACACACACACACACAUAU
rnacentral:miRNA from 1 species